GAGGAAUAUUGGUCAAUGGGCGAGAGCCUGAACCAGCCAAGUAGCGUGAAGGAUGACUGCCCUAUGGGUUGUAAACUUCUUUUAUAAAGGAAUAAAGUCGGGUAUGGAUACCCGUUUGCAUGUACUUUAUGAAUAAGGAUCGGCUAACUCCGUGCC
rnacentral:rRNA from 1 species